GACGAACGCUGGCGGCGUGCCUAAUACAUGCAAGUCGAGCGAAUUUACGAGAGCUUGCUCUCGUAAAUUAGCGGCGGACGGGUGAGUAACACGUGGGCAACCUGCCUAUAAGACUGGGAUAACUUCGGGAAACCGGAGCUAAUACCGGAUAAUUCACAUCUACUCAUGUAGAUGUGCUGAAAGACGGUUUCGGCUGUCACUUAUAGAUGGGCCCGCGGCGCAUUAGCUAGUUGGUGAGGUAACGGCUCACCAAGGCCACGACGCGUAGCCGACCUGAGAGAGUGAUAGGCCAAACUGGGACUGAGACACGGCCCAGACUCCUACGGGAGGCAGCAGUAGGGAAUCUUCCGCAAUGGACGAAAGUCUGACGGAGCAACGCCGCGUGAGUGAUGAAGGUUUUCGGAUCGUAAAACUCUGUUGUUAGGGAAGAACAAGUACCAGAGUAACUGCUGGUACCUUGACGGUACCUAACCAGAAAGUCACGGCUAACUACGUGCCAGCCGCCGCAGUAA
rnacentral:rRNA from 1 species